rnacentral:rRNA from 1 species
CAGCCGCCACGGUAAAACGGAGGGUGCAAGCGUUAAUCGGAAUUACUGGGCGUAAAGCGCACGCAGGCGGUUUGUUAAGUCAGAUGUGAAAUCCCCGAGCUUAACUUGGGAACUGCAUUUGAAACUGGCAAGCUAGAGUCUUGUAGAGGGGGGUAGAAUUCCAGGUGUAGCGGUGAAAUGCGUAGAGAUCUGGAGGAAUACCGGUGGCGAAGGCGGCCCCCUGGACAAAGACUGACGCUCAGGUGCGAAAGCGUGGGGAGCAAACAGGAUUAGAUACCCGUGUAGUCCCUGUCUCUUAUAC